rnacentral:rRNA from 1 species
GACGAACCCUGGCGGCGUGCUUAACACAUGCAAGUCGAACGGAAAGGCCCCCUUGUGGGGUACUCGAGUGGCGAACGGGUGAGUAACACGUGAGUAACCUACCCUUGACUUUGGGAUAACUUCAGGAAACUGGGGCUAAUACCGGAUAGGAGCUCCUGCUGCAUGGUGGGGGUUGGAAAGUUUCGGCGGUUGGGGAUGGACUCGCGGCUUAUCAGCUUGUUGGUGGGGUAGUGGCUCACCAAGGCUUUGACGGGUAGCCGGCCUGAGAGGGUGACCGGCCACAUUGGGACUGAGAUACGGCCCAGACUCCUACGGGAGGCAGCAGUGGGGAAUAUUGCACAAUGGGCGGAAGCCUGAUGCAGCAACGCCGCGUGCGGGAUGACGGCCUUCGGGUUGUAAACCGCUUUCGCCUGUGACGAAGCGUGAGUGACGGUAAUGGGUAAAGAAGCACCGGCUAACUACGUG